rnacentral:rRNA from 1 species
GACGAACGCUGGCGGCGUGCUUAACACAUGCAAGUCGAGCGGAAAGGCCCUUCGGGGUACUCGAGCGGCGAACGGGUGAGUAACACGUGAGUAACCUGCCCUGGACUUUGGGAUAACCCUCGGAAACGGGGGCUAAUACCGAAUAUGACCUGACAUCGCAUGAUGUUUGGUGGAAAGUUUUUCGGUCUGGGAUGGGCUCGCGGCCUAUCAGCUUGUUGGUGGGGUGAUGGCCUACCAAGGCGACGACGGGUAGCCGGCCUGAGAGGGCGACCGGCCACACUGGGACUGAGACACGGCCCAGACUCCUACGGGAGGCAGCAGUGGGGAAUAUUGCACAAUGGGCGGAAGCCUGAUGCAGCGACGCCGCGUGAGGGAUGACGGCC